rnacentral:rRNA from 1 species
CCUACGGGAGGCAGCAGUGAGGAAUAUUGGUCAAUGGUCGGAAGACUGAACCAGCCAAGCCGCGUGCGGGAUGAAGGUACAGAGUAUCGUAAACUGCUUUUGUCAGGGAGCAAAUGCGGGUACGCGUCUCCGAAUGAGUGUAUCUGAAGAAUAAGCAUCGGCUAACUCCGUGCCCGCAGCCGCGGUAAUACGGAGGAUGCGAGCGUUAUCCGGAUUUAGUGGGUUUAAAGGGUGCGCAGGCGGUCGGAUAAGUUAGAGGUGAAAGCCCGGGGCUCCACACCGGGCCCGCCGUUGAGACUGGCAGGCUAGAGUGGAGGAGAGGUAUGCGGAAUGCGCGGUGUAGCGGUGAAAUGCAUAGAGAU